UACCUGCAGCCCGAGUGGUGCUCGUUAUUAUUGGGUCUAAAUCGUCCGUAGUCGGUUGAGUAGAUGCCCGGGUAAAUCGCAGCGCUUAACGUUGCGAAUUCCGGGUAGACCGCUCGACUAGGGAUUGGGAGAGGUGCAAGGUACUUCGAGGGUAGGGGUAAAAUCCUGUAAUCCUCGGGGGACCACCAGUGGCGAAGGCGUUGCACUAGAACAAGUCCGACGAUCAGGGACGAAGCCCUGGGGCGCAAACGGG
rnacentral:rRNA from 1 species